AUUGAACGCUGGCGGCAUGCUUUACACAUGCAAGUCGAACGGUAACAGGCCGCAAGGUGCUGACGAGUGGCGAACGGGUGAGUAAUGCAACGGAACGUGCCCAGUCGUGGGGGAUAACGCAGCGAAAGCUGUGCUAAUACCGCAUACGAUCUAUGGAUGAAAGCGGGGGACCGUAAGGCCUCGUGCGAUUGGAGCGGCCGGUGUCAGAUUAGGUAGUUGGUGGGGUAAAGGCCCACCAAGCCAACGAUCUGUAGCUGGUCUGAGAGGACGACCAGCCACACUGGGACUGAGACACGGCCCAGACUCCUACGGGAGGCAGCAGUGGGGAAUUUUGGACAAUGGGCGCAAGCCUGAUCCAGCAAUGCCGCGUGCAGGAAGAAGGCCUUCGGGUUGUAAACUGCUUUUGUACGGAACGAAAAGGUCUGGGUUAAUACCCUGGGCUGAUGACGGUACCGUAAGAAUAAGCACCGGCUAACUACGUGCCAGCAGCCGCAGUAAGAC
rnacentral:rRNA from 1 species